AAUCACUUGGAAAUGUGAUUUUUUUUUUACAUUUUGGGGUUAUUUCUUCCUCGAUACUUCAAGUGUCCUUUUGUUCUUUCAUUUUUCUCUUUCAUGGGUGCCAUGUUCUUUGGAAGAUUAUUUAGACCAAGUCAGUGGCCUUUGAGGUGUCCUCCAAGCCAAUAGGAGUUUACAUUUGGAAUAAUGGCAAUUAUAAGUCACGGGCGGGGGCAAGCAUCAGGAUUUUAGAGAUGCUUAGGAGGGGCGUGGGCAACAAAAGGUUGGGAACCUCUGCUCUGGGUCUUUGGCCUUCAGCCCUCUGUCUUGUCCCGUGCCUGCUCAGCCAUGCCUGACACCAUGGCGCUCAGUCUCCUCGUGCACACAGCCCUCCACUGGGUCUCGCCUUGCACCCUUCUAGAAGCUCUCCUUCCUCUGCCAGCCAUGGGGUCUCUCCCAGAUAAUCUCCAGUCCCAGCUGGGCCUUGCUUCUGCUCUACGGCCCUCCACGUGCUCUGUGACCGCAUCGGUCCGCCCUAAAUUCCCCGUUGGUCACUCGUGUCUCCCUCAGCCUUUCUCCUCAAGAGGCCUCAGUUGCAGGAACAAAGCUUGGUGCUCCUCUCCCUACUCACUCCAGGUGAAUCCCGGGGUGCCACCCCCUAUCCUCCCAGGACAUUUCUUGGCUACAUCCAUUGGCUCGCUGUCUGCCUGGUCCAGGGUCCUCUGACCCCAUUCUGACAUUCUUGACUCUCAUGCCUCCAUCUCUACCACUCAGGAGCCCCUCUGCUCAUGCUUCACCUCUCUGCCCAGGUCUCCUCUCUGCCACUUCCACGCAGUGAUUCUCACCCGAGGGUGCAUGACCCCCCAAGGCGGCCUAUCAGCAACAUCUUUGGGUAUUCUUUUUUUUUAGAAUUUUUUUUUUUUUUGGAAUUCUUUUGGGGGUUA